UCAGAUCAUGUAAAAUUUUAAAGGUCGAACAGACCUAAUGUACCAGCUCCUACACCAGUAAUAAAUUUUAAUCCAACAUCGAGGUCGCAAUCUUUUUCUUCGAUAAGAACUCUAAAAAAAAUAACGCUGUUAUCCCUAAGGUAAUUUGUCCUUUUAAUCUUUACAUAAGGAUCAUAAAUUUACACACUAGUAUAUAAAUAAAGAAAAGUUAAAUUAAUUUUCUCAUCACCCCAACAAAAUACUUAAGUGCACAGACAAACUUUGAUCCCAAAGUCCUUUCCAUACAUUCAUAUAUAAAACUCUAUAGGGUCUUCUCGUCUUCCACUAAAAUUUAAGCUUUUUUACUCAAAAAUAAAAUUCAAAUCAAUUCUUCUAGAGACAGUCAUCUCCUCAGCAAGCCCUUCAUACAAGCUUUCAAUUAAAAAACUAAUGAUUAUGCUACCUUUGCACGGUCAAGAUACCGCGGCCAUUUAACUCUUCAUUGGGCAGGCCAGACCUAAAAUCAACAU
rnacentral:rRNA from 1 species